UUCAGUUAUUUUCAGAUACAGUUAAUUGAAGGAAGGGUUUGAAACCAUAGAAGGAAUUUAUUGAAAGAGUUAUGUUUUAAAAAAUUGUGGAUACCUGGAUAUAUUCAGGUUUCACUUGCUACCUGAAACAGUAUAUUUGAGAAGCGGUUAAGAAACCAUAGAAGGAAUUGUCAAGGUUCAGUUAUUUUCAGAUACAAUUAAUUGAAGGAGGGAUUUGAAAGUUUAUUGAAGAGUGAUAUUUACAAAAAUUGUGGUACCUGGAUGCUCAGGGUUCACUUGCUACCUGAAACAGUAUAUCUGAGAAGUGGUUGAGAAACUAUAAAUAGAAUUGAUUGGAAGGGUAGUUUUGGAUGAGAUGUGGAUACUAACCCUAUCACUUAGGGUAGUAUAUUCAAGAAG
rnacentral:lncRNA from 1 species